GCCGAUGUAGCUCAGUUGGUAGAGCAGCGCACUUGUAAUGCGCGGGUCGGGGGUUCGAAUCCCUUCAUCGGCUCC
rnacentral:tRNA from 1 species